UUCCAGCUCCAAUAGCGUAUAUUUAAGUUGUUGCAGUUAAAAAGCUCGUAGUUGGAUUUCGGGUGGGUACCGCCGGUCUCCCACUGGGUAUGUACUGGCGUGGCCCGCCUUGCUGUCGGGGACGAUCUCCUGGGCUUUACUGUCCGGGAAUCGGAGUCGACGAUGUUACUUUGAGUAAAUUAGAGUGUUCAAAGCAAGCCUACGCUCUGAAUAUAAUAGCAUGGGAUAACACGACAGGACUCUGGCCUAUCGUGUUGGUCUGUAGGACCGGAGUAAUGAUUAAGAGGGACAGUCGGGGGCAUUCGUAUUCCAUUGUCAGAGGUGAAAUUCUUGGAUUUAUGGAAGACGAACAUCUGCGAAAGCAUUUGUCAAGGAUGUUUUCAUCA
rnacentral:rRNA from 1 species